rnacentral:rRNA from 1 species
CCUGGCUCACGAUGAACGCUAGCUACAGGCUUAACACAUGCAAGUCGAGGGGCAGCAUGGUCUUAGCUUGCUAAGGCCGAUGGCGACCGGCGCACGGGUGAGUAACACGUAUCCAACCUGCCGUCUACUCUUGGACAGCCUUCUGAAAGGAAGAUUAAUACAAGAUGGCAUCAUGAGUCCGCAUGUUCACAUGAUUAAAGGUAUUCCGGUAGACGAUGGGGAUGCGUUCCAUUAGAUAGUAGGCGGGGUAACGGCCCACCUAGUCUUCGAUGGAUAGGGGUUCUGAGAGGAAGGUCCCCCACAUUGGAACUGAGACACGGUCCAAACUCCUACGGGAGGCAGCAGUGAGGAAUAUUGGUCAAUGGGCGAGAGCCUGAACCAGCCAAGUAGCGUGAAGGAUGACUGCCCUAUGGGUUGUAAACUUCUUUUAUAAAGGAAUAAAGUCGGGUAUGGAUACCCGUUUGCAUGUACUUUAUGAAUAAGGAUCGGCUAACUCCGUGCCAGCAGCCGCGGUAAUACGGAGGAUCCGAGCGUUAUCCGGAUUUAUUGGGUUUAAAGGGAGCGUAGAUGGAUGUUUAAGUCAGUUGUGAAAGUUUGCGGCUCAACCGUAAAAUUGCAGUUGAUACUGGAUAUCUUGAGUGCAGUUGAGGCAGGCGGAAUUCGUGGUGUAGCGGUGAAAUGCUUAGAUAUCACGAAGAACUCCGAUUGCGAAGGCAGCCUGCUAAGCUGCAACUGACAUUGAGGCUCGAAAGUGUGGGUAUCAAACAGGAUUAGAUACCCUGGUAGUCCACACGGUAAACGAUGAAUACUCGCUGUUUGCGAUAUACAGCAAGCGGCCAAGCGAAAGCGUUAAGUAUUCCACCUGGGGAGUACGCCGGCAACGGUGAAACUCAAAGGAAUUGACGGGGGCCCGCACAAGCGGAGGAACAUGUGGUUUAAUUCGAUGAUACGCGAGGAACCUUACCCGGGCUUAAAUUGCAGAUGAAUUACGGUGAAAGCCGUAAGCCGCAAGGCAUCUGUGAAGGUGCUGCAUGGUUGUCGUCAGCUCGUGCCGUGAGGUGUCGGCUUAAGUGCCAUAACGAGCGCAACCCUUGUUGUCAGUUACUAACAGGUUCCGCUGAGGACUCUGACAAGACUGCCAUCGUAAGAUGUGAGGAAGGUGGGGAUGACGUCAAAUCAGCACGGCCCUUACGUCCGGGGCUACACACGUGUUACAAUGGGGGGUACAGAGGGCCGCUACCACGCGAGUGGAUGCCAAUCCCCAAAACCUCUCUCAGUUCGGACUGGAGUCUGCAACCCGACUCCACGAAGCUGGAUUCGCUAGUAAUCGCGCAUCAGCCACGGCGCGGUGAAUACGUUCCCGGGCCUUGCACACACCGCCC